rnacentral:rRNA from 1 species
CCUACGGGAGGCAGCAGUGAGGAAUAUUGGUCAAUGGACGAGAGUCUGAACCAGCCAAGUAGCGUGAAGGAUGACUGCCCUAUGGGUUGUAAACUUCUUUUAUAAAGGAAUAAAACGAGGCACGUGUGCCUUUUUGCAUGUACUUUAUGACUAAGGAUCGGCUAACUCCGUGCCAGCAGCCGCGGUAAUACGGAGGAUCCGAGCGUUCUCCGGAUUUAUUGGGUUUAAAGGGAGCGUAGAUGGGUUGUUAAGUCAGUUGUGAAAGUUUGCGGCUCAACCGUAAAAUUGCAAUUGAUACUGGCAGUCGUGAGUACAGUUGAGGUAGGCGGAAUUCGUGGUGUAGCGGUGAAAUGCUUAGAUAUCACGAAGAACCCCGAUUGCGAAGGCAGCUUACUAAACUGUGACUGACAUUGAUGCUCGAAAGUGUGGGUAUCAAACAGGAUUAGAUACCCCUGUAGUC